rnacentral:rRNA from 1 species
CCCUUAGAUGUUCUGGGCCGCACGCGCGCUACACUGAUGCAUUCAACGAGUCUAAAACCUGGUCUGAUAGGGCUGGGUAAUCUUUUGAAAGUGCAUCGUGAUUGGGAUAGAUGAUUGCAAUUCUUCAUCUUCAACGAGGAAUGCCUAGUAAACGCAAGUCAUCAGCUUGCAUUGAUUACGUCCCUGCCCUUUGUACACACCGCCCGUCGCUCCUACCGAUUGAAUGAUCCGAUGAAUACCAUGGAUUGAGAGUACGAAUGGGUUCGCUCAUUUCUGCUGCCCGAGAAGUGGAGUAAAUCUUAUCAUUUAGAGGAAGGAGAAGUCGUAACA